rnacentral:misc_RNA from 1 species
UUUCCGUAGGUGAACCUGCGGAAGGAUCAUUAUUGAAUAUGCUUGAUAGGUUGUAGCUGGCUCUUCGGAGUAUGUGCACGCUUAUCUUGACUUAAUUCAUCCACCUGUGCACCUUUUGUAGUCUUGGGGGUUGAGAUCGGUCGACUAUCGGAUGGCCAAGGUCAUUCCGGAUGUGAGGAAUGCUGAGUGCGAAAGCAUACAGCUCUUCUCAAAUGACUUGUCUUCCUCGAGUACUAUGUAUUCAUAUACCACAUAGUACGUUGUAGAAUGUGAUCAAUGGGUCUAUGUACCUAUAAUAAUUAUACACAACUUUCAGCAACGGAUCUCUUGGCUCUC